AAACAAAUUAAUUAAUAUUAAUCAUUUAACUUUCACGAUAAUAUUUUAGAUCAUCCCAGUAUUCAACUUUUCUCAUAAUAAAGUUGAAUGAUAAUAUAAAAAAAUGUACAUUUAUACCUAACUUUCAAUCUCAUUAUUUUUUUUCUCCUAACUUGUAUUUAUUCAUCAUUUAAACUUUACAUCUUACAGUUUUAUUUAAGUUGUCGUAAUUUUCCAUUUCCUCUAAAGUCUGAUCGUUGAACGUUUUAACGUUAUUCGUGCAGCAUUAGCACUGAAGCUAGCGUUAAGCUAGGUAAGCUAGUAACCUAUUAGCGGGCUAAUAAAUAGCCUGUUAACGGCUAGCAUUACCGUCCGUGCUGCUCUAGCUUAUUUUUUUAAAUAUCACUUUUAUUCGCUUAAGCUUCACUUUAAAAUUUAUAAAUUAGAACAUGAAAACUGUGGACGGCUCAGAAAAGUCUGCUAUACUUGGUUUCACCGUCAAAGGGAGCAGGAGCGACGUUCGGCUGCAGAGCUUUGACAAUGACCUCCAGUGGCUCAAUGGUCAGAGGACACUGCUGGCAGCCCACCCAGAAGUACGGGAAGACCUUCUCGGUGAGUGGGUGCUUGAACGUGUAGAUGUGUGUGUUGUCCUGUGGGUUGUAGAACGACAACCUGCCCCUGUCACAGUCCAGCAGCACUCGGAUCCUCUGCGGGUUGCUCUUCAAGUUCAGCCGAGUUAGAGGAGAGGUACCUGCGAAGUACAUUUUGUGGUAGAAGUACACACAGAGGUAUCCAUUGCUCAGCACUGAAGACACUUUCUCCUUCUUCUUGACGGAUUCCUUGGCCACGCCGACAACCCACGCCGUGCUGUCUCCCACGUUGACGUCCCAGGCGCGCUUGCCCGAGGUGAAGGCCUCGCAGCCGAGCACGGCGCUGUCAGGGUCGAAUCUCUCUGGGUUGUCGGGCAAUUUCUGCUUCUUGUCGCUGUCGCAGACGCUGGUGAGGUCGUCUGUCAGGACGAGCCACGGGGCGGCGGUGUUGGGGUCCAGAGUGACUGGGGCUGGAGAAAACAUGAUAGUUUGGGGUCACACGCAGAGCGUGGCGGCCUGGGACUCCAUCCAGUAUGAACCUCACCAUUGCUGGUACUCACUGUAUUUGACGAUCUUAUGCAUCUUCUCCCACACGUGGUACGAGAGCGAGCCCACGUAUCGGCCUACGUCAAUGAGCGCACACGGAGCCAUAACUUCACCUUCGAUCGGACAGUUAGCCCUGCAGAUUCAGAAUAAAACACAUUCGGAUCAAAGUAACAAAAGUAUAGAUUUAAAAUUUAAAAAUAAAUUUUCUCUUUACCUUUCUAGA